rnacentral:rRNA from 1 species
AUUGAACGCUGGCGGCAUGCCUUACACAUGCAAGUCGAACGGCAGCACGGGGCAACCUGGUGGCGAGUGGCGAACGGGUGAGUAAUGCAUCGGAACGUGCCAUUGAGUGGGGGAUAACGUAGCGAAAGUUGCGCUAAUACCGCAUAUUCUGUGAGCAGGAAAGCAGGGGACCGCAAGGCCUUGCGCUCUUUGAGCGGCCGAUGUCAGAUUAGCUAGUUGGUGAGGUAACGGCUUACCAAGGCGACGAUCUGUAGCGGGUCUGAGAGGAUGAUCCGCCACACUGGAACUGAGACACGGUCCAGACUCCUACGGGAGGCAGCAGUGGGGAAUUUUGGACAAUGGGCGCAAGCCUGAUCCAGCCAUGCCGCGUGAGUGAAGAAGGCCUUCGGGUUGUAAAGC